GAGUGGAGCUUGCUCCAUGAUUCAGCGGCGGACGGGUGAGUAAUGCCUAGGAAUCUGCCUGGUAGUGGGGGACAACGUUUCGAAAGGAACGCUAAUACCGCAUACGUCCUACGGGAGAAAGCAGGGGACCUUCGGGCCUUGCGCUAUCAGAUGAGCCUAGGUCGGAUUAGCUAGUAGGUGAGGUAAUGGCUCACCUAGGCGACGAUCCGUAACUGGUCUGAGAGGAUGAUCAGUCACACUGGAACUGAGACACGGUCCAGACUCCUACGGGAGGCAGCAGUGGGGAAUAUUGGACAAUGGGCGAAAGCCUGAUCCAGCCAUGCCGCGUGUGUGAAGAAGGUCUUCGGAUUGUAAAGCACUUUAAGUUGGGAGGAAGGGCAGUAAGUUAAUACCUUGCUGUUUUGACGUUACCAACAGAAUAAGCACCGGCUAACUUCGUGCCAGCAGCCGCGGUAAUACGAAGGGUGCAAGCGUUAAUCGGAAUUACUGGGCGUGAAGCGCGCGU
rnacentral:rRNA from 1 species